AGGAGAGCAAACUCUAUACAAACCCGGGCAGGUGGAGGUCGUUAGCCGUGGGAGGCAAUUCACCUAGGAGAGCAAACUCCGAACAAUAAACCCGGGCAGGUGGAGGUCGUUAGCCGUGGGAGGCAAUUCACCUAGGAGAGCAAACUCCGAACAAUAAACCCGGGCAGGUGGAGGUCGUUAGCCGUGGUAGGCAAUUCACCUAGGAGAGCAAACUCUAAACAAACCCGGGCAGGUGGAGGUCGUUAGCCGUGGGAGGCAAUUCACCUAGGAGAGCAAACUCUAAACAAACCCGGGCAGGUGAGGCUCGUUAGCCGUGGUAGGCAGUUCACCUAGGAGAGCAAACUCUAAACAAACCCGGGCAGGUGGGGCUCGUUAGCCGUGGUAGGCAGUUCACCUAGGAGAGCAAACUCUAAACAAACCCGGGCAGGUGAGGUUCGUUAGCCGUGGUAGGCAGUUCACCUAGGAGAGCAAACUCCGAACAACAAACCCGGGCAGGUGGAGGUCGUCAGCCGUGGUAGGCAGUUCACCUAGGAGAGCAAACUCCGAACAAUAAACCCGGCCAGGUGGAGGUCGUCAGCCGUGGUAGGCAGUUCACCUAGGAGAGCAAACUCCGAACAAUAAACCCGGGCAGGUGGAGGUCGUCAGCCGUGGUAGGCAGUUCACCUAGGAGAGCAAACUCCGAACAAUAAACCCGGCCAGGUGGAGGUCGUCAGCCGUGGUAGGCAAUCUGCCUAGGAGAGCAAACUCCGAACAAUAAACCCGGGCAGGUGGAGGUCGUCAGCCGUGGUAGGCAAUCUGCCUAGGAGAGCAAACUCCGAACAAUAAACCCGGCCAGGUGGAGGUCGUCAGCCGUGGUAGGCAAUCUGCCUAGGAGAGCAAACUCCGAACAAUAAACCCGGGCAGGUGGAGGUCGUCAGCCGUGGUAGGCAAUCUGCCUAGGAGAGCAAACUCCGAACAAUAAACCCGGCCAGGUGGAGGUCGUCAGCCGUGGUAGGCAGUCUGCCUAGGAGAGCAAACUCCGAACAAUAAACCCGGCCAGGUGGAGGUCGUUAGCCGUGGUAGGCAGUCUGCCUAGGAGAGCAAACUCUAAACAAACCCGGGCUUGUGGUGCUCGUUAUACUGUCGUAGACAAUCCACGCGAUGGGAACACCAAAGAAAAGGAAAAUAAAAAGGAACACCAGAAAAAUGGAAAAUACAGAAACGAAACAUCAAGAAAAGAAACAAAAAGAUCAUCCACCUUUAGGCCCUAACAUCGCCAAAAUUAUGGAUGGGUCUCUUCUGGGGAGAAAGCGGCUCAUCCAGACCAAAGAACAUCAACCAAAGGAUGAUAUGAAUAAAUGAAAUAAAAAAAACAUAAAGAAAAACACAUCAAGGAAAGAAAAAUAUAACAAACAUCAUCCACCUUCCGGCCCUGACUAACAUCACCAAAA